CAACGCCCGUCAAGUGCGGCACUUUGAUAAUGGACUCCAGGCGCGUGAAUAAUAACAGGCAGCGGUCAGUUAGGAAAUAGCGUUUCAUUAACAUGGAAAACGAAAAUUGAAAAAAAAAAAGUAAAUGUUAAAUUGGAAAUUGGAAAAUGUUGCAAAAAUUGUUAGCCGAAAAAGCUGUAGCCGAAGCUGAAAGAAAACGGCGCCUGACAUCUGACGUGCGGUGGCAGGCACUUUGGUAACUUAACCAGCUUUUGGCUACUUAACAUUGCGUAUACGUAUUGUGGGCUGAGUCAGAGCCUGGUCUUGUAGCUGGCGCUGGAGCUGAGCUUUACAUUACCGGUUGCUCGAUUUCUGGGAAAGUGCAGCGAAUCAGCGAAUCGGCGAAUCGCAGGACGGACUUAUUUUUCGGCCAAGGCGACAACAGCAUAAUUUACCGUUAGCUCUUCAUCAUUCAGUGGAAAAGCUGGAAAAGCUCCAAAUUGAACCAACUCAACCAACAGCAGACACGCAGCACGCAAAGUGCCGAAUCCGAGUGCCGAUUUCCUACUCGAGUCGGGAAAGUGCAAGAAACCCCAAUGCAAGCCGAUGCCAGAUGUUAUUACCGAUUCGUAGCCGGUUAACCUUCUGACUUUACUUAUGAUUUUCACUUUUCUUAUGGCUGCAAUUUACCAUUGUUGCCGCCACACUCGAGCCCAUGUGGCAAUGUGCAACAACAACAACAACAGCGACAGCAA